rnacentral:rRNA from 1 species
CUACGGGUUGCAGCAGUGAGGAAUAUUGGUCAAUGGACGGAAGUCUGAACCAGCCAUCCCGCGUGCAGGAAGACGGCCCUAUGGGUUGUAAACUGCUUUUCUGAAGGAAGAAUAAUUCCGAGUUUCUCGGGAGAUGACGGUACUUCAGGAAUAAGCAUCGGCUAACUCCGUGCCAGCAGCCGCGGUAAUACGGAGGAUGCAAGCGUUAUCCGGAUUUAUUGGGUUUAAAGGGUGCGUAGGCGGAUAAAUAAGUCAGUGGUGAAAUCUCUCGGCUCAACCGGGAAACUGCCAUUGAUACUGUUUAUCUUGAGUUCGGCAGAGGUAGGCGGAAUGUGUAAUGUAGCGGUGAAAUGCUUAGAUAUUACACAGAACACCAAUUGCGUAGGCAGCUUACUAUACCGACACUGACGCUGAGGCACGAAAGCGUGGGGAGCGAACAGGAUUAGAUACCCCGGUAGUC